rnacentral:rRNA from 1 species
AGCAGCCGCGGUAAUUCCAGCUCCAAUAGCGUAUAUUAAAGUUGUUGCAGUUAAAAAGCUCGUAGUUGAAUUUCGGGAUCAGUACGCUGGUCGUGCCUUCGGUAUGUACUGGUGUUACUGGUUCCUACCUUCUGGCGAACCGUCAUGUCAUUAAUUUGGUGUGGCGGGGAAUCAGGACUGUUACUUUGAAAAAAUUAGAGUGUUUAAAGCAGGCUCGCGCUUGAAUACAUUAGCAUGGAAUAAUGAAAUAGGACGUUCGAUCCUAUUUUGUUGGUUUCUAGGAUUGACGUAAUGAUUAAUAGGGAUAGUUGGGGGCAUUAGUAUUCAAUUGUCAGAGGUGAAAUUCUUGGAUUUAUUGAAGACUAACUACUGCGAAAGCAUUUGCCAAGGAUGUUUUCAUUAAUCAAGAACGAAAGUUAGGGGAUCGAAGACGAUCAGAUACCGUCGUAGUCUUAACCAUAAACUAUGCCGACUAGGGAUCGGAUGAUGUAAUUUUUUAAUGACUCAUUCGGCGCCUUAA